AAGCUUUAACACUUUGAUUCAGCCAAUCAGCAUCUGUCUGUGCCUCUCUCUCUCCCCCUCUCCUCUCUAACGUGUUACCAAGACAUUUUUCCUGUUACAAACCACAGCUGCUGCUUCACCUCCAUGUUGGGCGGAGGUGUUGGGCCGUCCGUGUCACAUCGGGCUGAGGGACGAUGGGCCGAGGACGUCUCCUGUGGAUCCUCUGUGUGACCCGGCUGCUCGGCUCCACCACAAACCCAGCUGGUCUGAAGGUGAGUCCCAGCAGCUCUCAGCUGUUUGAAGGAGACUCUGUGUCUCUGAGCUGUGAGGAGGACGACAGCUCUGCUGGAUGGACUCUGAGGAGAAACACCACCAGAGACUCCAGGACUCCGUGUGAAGACUGGGGAGAAGCAGCUGGUUCUUCCUGUGAGAUGCGCUACCUCCUCCCCUGGGACAGUGGAGUGUACUGGUGGAGUCCAGACAGGGACAGACCAGCAGCAACCUGACUGUCUCUGGUAAGAUGAGCCUGUGGACUCAGUGCUGAUGAAGCUGUGUGUGUCUGCAUGAAAUGCUGUAGUGUGUCUCUGUGUGGAGGUGGAGCAGUGAUCCUGCAGAGUCCUGUCCUCCCUGUGAUGGAGGGAGACCCCGUCACUCUGACCUGUACAACAAGGCCCCCUGCCUCCACCCUCCCAGCUGCUUUCUAUAAAGAUGGCUCCCUCCUCAGCACUCAGCCUGCAGGUCACAUGACCAUCCUCCAUGUUUCCAGCUCUGAUGAAGGCCUCUACAGCUGUGACAUCAGCGGUCAUGGAGAGUCUCCACCCAGCUGGAUCUCUGUCACAGGUGAGGAGCUCCACCUUGAUGUCUGCACUUAUUUCAUCCACAUGUUCAGCUGAAGACAAAAACAGCUCAACGACCGUUCAAAUCCUUUUUAUGAUUUAUUUCAGCUUCACCCACUCCUCCUCCUCCUCCUCCUCCUUCAUCAGCAUCCCCAGGUCCUCCUCCUCGUCCCCUCCUCUGUCUGUGCUGCUGUCUGUCCCCUCCAUGUCUGCUGUGGUGCUGCUGGUUGUCCUGGUUGUGCUGCUGAGACGAUGUGUCUGCAGGAAGCCUGACGGACUCGCAGUGUCGACUGAAGCAGAGGACGGUCCGGUUUCCUCAGCAGAACCAGACCAGACAGGAGACAGUGACCCAGCAGCACUUUACUCCAUCAGAAGACGAACAGACGUCAUUUAUGGAGAAAUCAGCAUCAGGAGCAACACGAGGAGAGAGCUUCCAGCAGAUCCAGCAGUUGUGUACUCCACCCUGAAGCCCGCUCCUUCACAGCUGUGUGAGUCCUCCGAGGAGC
ensembl:lncRNA